UAACGAUACGGGACUCAUCCGAGGCCCCGUAAUCGGAAUGAGUACACUUUAAAUCCUUUAACGAGGACCCAUUGGAGGGCAAGUCUGGUGCCAGCAGCCGCGGUAAUUCCAGCUCCAAUAGCGUAUAUUAAAGUUGUUGCGGUUAAAAAGCUCGUAGUUGAAUCUGUGUGCCACGCUGUCGGUUCAUCGCUCGCGAUGUUUAACUGACAUGAUUGUGGGACGUCCUACCGGUGGGCUUAGCUCUUAACGGGGCGGUCCAGCUAAUAUCCCAUCGCGGUGCUCUUUAUCGAGUGUCGUUGUGGGCCGGUACGUUUACUUUGAACAAAUUAGAGUGCUCAAAGCAGGCUAUGUUAUGCCUGAAUACUUCGUGCAUGGAAUAAUGGAAUAGGACCUCGGUUCUAUUUUGUUGGUUUUCGGAACCCCGAGGUAAUGAUUAAUAGGGACAGAUGGGGGCAUUCGUAUUGCGACGUUAGAGGUGAAAUUCUUGGAUCGUCGCAAGACGGACAGAAGCGAAAGCAUUUGCCAAAAAUGUUUUCAUUAAUCAAGAACGAAAGUUAGAGGUUCGAAGGCGAUCAGAUACCGCCCUAGUUCUAACCAUAAACGAUGCCAGCUAGCGAUCCGCCGAAGUUCCUCCGAUGACUCGGCGGGCAGCUUCCGGGAAACCAAAGCUUUUGGGUUCCGGGGGAAGUAUGGUUGCAAAGCUGAAACUUAAAGGAAUUGACGGAAGGGCACCACCAGGAGUGGAGCCUGCGGCUUAAUUUGACUCAACAC
rnacentral:rRNA from 1 species